GUAGCGCCUAAACUACUGAGCCGAUUUUGUUGAAUGAGGUGUCAAUUGCUUCCUUGUAAAGGACCGGGUGACAUACUAGGCUAUAUUUUAUACGAAAAAAAUUGACCUAACGGAUGUUAUAU